GAUGAACGCUGGCGGCGUGCCUAAUACAUGCAAGUCGAGCGAACAGAUAAGGAGCUUGCUCCUUUGACGUUAGCGGCGGACGGGUGAGUAACACGUGGGUAACCUACCUAUAAGACUGGGAUAACUUCGGGAAACCGGAGCUAAUACCGGAUAAUAUUUCGAACCGCAUGGUUCGAUAGUGAAAGAUGGUUUUGCUAUCACUUAUAGAUGGACCCGCGCCGUAUUAGCUAGUUGGUAAGGUAACGGCUUACCAAGGCGACGAUACGUAGCCGACCUGAGAGGGUGAGCGGCUACACAGGAACUGAGACACGGUGCAGACGCCUACGGGAGGCAGCAGUGGGGAAGCAUCGACAAUGGGCGAAUGCCUGACGGAGCAAAGCAGCGAGGGUGAGGAAGGUCUUCAGAGCGUAAAACUCUGUAACUAGGGAGGAAGAGAAGAGAAUGUAACUGUGCACGUCUUGACGGUACCUAAACAGAAAGCCACGGCUAACUACGUG
rnacentral:rRNA from 1 species